AGAUACCUGCCUAAGUGGGGGAAACCCUGUGUCCUAGUGCACUCUCUCCGUCUGUGCAAUUGCUUGAGGUAAUAAAGUGUAUCUGAUUUACUGCACCCAACCUGAGAGUGAGACCUGUGUUUUUCUCCGACAAUUUGGGGGCUCGUCUGGGAUGGCAACACCCGCUGAGACAACAGCAGCUGCUGCAGACUGUUCCCCUUCGAACCCCAUGGUGCCACAAUAGAGGUGAAAGAAGCACUACCCAAAGAUCCUGAACAACCCUGCCACUCGGUAGAACCCAGUCUACCUAAAGGUCCAUCGGCGAAAGACUGCUCUGGCCCCACGCUGGAAAGGCCCUUAUUAAGUCCUGCUAACUACCAACACCGCUGUAAAGUGCCAAGGACUGACUGCCUGGACCCAUGCUUCUUACUGCAAAAAGACCCCUCCGCCUCAAGAUGACUUCACUUUGACUACCGAUCAGCCUGUCCCUCCUUCUGGGUUUUUUCUUUCCUCCUUUUGGACAGCAGGGGAAAGGACAAGGUGAAGUGUUAGUAACCUCUCCCUUGUAAACUGACAGAGCUAACCUGCAUUCAGCAUUUGCUAAAGAAACCAAAGCACUACAGGGUGACAUCUAGUAACCUCUCCCCUGUAUAAUGCAAAACCACGACUGUUCCA